ensembl:snRNA U6 U6 spliceosomal RNA
GUGCUCACUUCGGCAGCACUAUACCAAAACUGGAAUGACAGAGAAGAUGAGCGUGGCCCCUGUGCAAGGAUAACAUGCAAAUUUAUGAAGCAUUCCUUUUAUUU